ensembl:lncRNA
AAACAGGAUCUCAGAGGCUGGCAACUCUUUGGGGGGGAAUAACACGCAGAAAACACUACUAUCGCUAAUAUUUUCAAGGGGGUUUGAUGUCCCAGAGCUUUCACACCUCCACACAAGAUGGCCAGCCUCGUAGGGUAGGAUGAGGAGGAGGAAGAGGAAGCUGCACUCUUCCUCCUUUCGAUAGCGCAGAGGCGAGGAGCAGAUGGUGCGAGAGAUUGGAAACAUCGUCUGGAGUCGGCCAACCCUGGGCUAAUGGCAAGCUGUGCUGGCAGCGCCGCCCAAACAGUAGCAGAAACUGAGGGCGCCGGGAUAAAACUCUCUUCUCCACAGAUCUAGUGCGGAUGCCUUGUCUAGAAUCAGUUUCAUCGAAACAAACUGGCAUUGGUCUAAAUCCACAAAAUUCCUAACACCUGGCAGGAGAUGCUGCGGGGUAAACCCAGUGUUACCUUUGGAGAAAGUACCAUCACUGAGGUAGUUUCUAUGCAACGACGAAACGUUCAGUGGGGUGGCCGGGUCAGUGCACCAGGGCCCAGAAGAGUAAACUCAUCGACCUUUAGGGACCCAAGCAGCUCAUUUUGCCUCUCCCGCCUGAUGUUCGGAGGCUCUGCUGCUGCUGACAGCUCCUGCAUGUCUCGGUUUAAAAACAGUAGCUGUCACAGAUCACGGCAGGCACGCUGGGGAUUAAGAAGACAGUGAUACCUGCCAACAUGACAUAAGCGUGAACUGUCGCCGAUGAUUGACGACGUAACUGGAGAUGCUGUCUUUCUUCGGUUUAUUGUCCUCCUGACCUUGAGUCCUCAAAAACCCUUUCUUCUCAGCUUCAUCUCCACUGCUUUGCACACAGCAGCUACAGCAACCGUAGCUCAUUUUUAACUCGGCAAUGCCGCCACUCCCCCCUCCGAGGUUUGCUGCACAGGUUCAUAUGAGGACAAGGAAGGCAGCUGGGUGCCAGAUGAGAACGGUAAUUAGGCCGCUAUCCACCGGACUUUGGUUACAGGUGCAGAUCUGCCUGCAGGGAUGAACAAAGCUGUCAAUGGAAAAGAUCAUUCAUGCUGAAACAACAGAAAAGAAGGUGGGGGGAGACUGGCCAGCUUCUGCUACAGAGAGCCUGGGCCAAGGCAAGAUAAAUCGCUCUGAGUGGCAUCGCGACAAGCCGAAAGCAGGCGUAUAAAUCAUUUUCCUGGGAGCUUUAAGAGCAAAAAGUGGAGGCUCUGAUUUUAGCUCGAGCGGCUGUGCACAGAUAGAGCUAUCACCAGCCAGUCUGGGCUACCUGCUGCUGGUGCUGUUUUUGAUCAAACGUGUUUAAUUAGACAAGAGAGCCAAAGAUGUUGUAGGAGUGGAGUCCUUCUGAGAAUUAUAGUGACUCUAAAGAAUCUCAGAAAGGUCUACAUAGGAGCCUUCCAGUGGCAAACAGCAGGAAAAGCCCAUUAUGUUGGCAUGUUUGUUGCAUGCUACAUUCUCUCUAUGUUUUGCAGUGGUUAGGUGUUCACAUACAUGUGGCCUGAUAGUAUCAUUUCACAGUUCACAACGUGACUGGACAUUAAGUGGUUCAUAAAGAUGAUUUUUAGAGAAUCAUUUUAGAAAAAUGACAACACAAAGGCUGCAAUGGCCACUUUAUUAGUUACAACCGUUCAACCGCUUAUUAAAAUGGAAAUCAGUCAGUCACAUGGCUGCAAUUCACUGCAUGUAAGCAUGUACACAUGGUUAAAACAACCUGCUGAAGUUCAAGCUGAGCAAAUGUCUUGUUGAUGCCAGAGCUCAGAAAAGAAUGGCUGAUUCAAACUGAUAGGAAGCCAACAGUUACUCAAAUUACCACUUUUUACAACCAAGGUAUGCAGAAGAGCAUCUUUGAAUCCACAGCAGAGGAGCAGAAGACCACCGGGUCCCACUUUUGUCAGCUAAGAACAGCAAACUGAGGCUAUAAUUUGCAAAGACUCACCAAAACUGGACAAUCGACUGUCCGUCACAUUCAAUGAAGAUGUGAGAAUGAGAUUAAUAAUACAAUAAUACUCCAGCAUGAAGCGUACGGGACCACGCGUGGCUGUCCAGAGCCAGCUGUUCCCAGUUGUCUACAUCAAUCAGCAUUGCUUUCAGAUCCCUGUUGAUGGAGUCUUUCUGAACAAUAGCAGAUUGAAAAAAUGUUCCCUGGUGUCCUGAGCCUUGAUCUCUACUCUCUGAGAAACAUGCCCAGUGCCUUGUUGAAUUUGUCCCAUUUAGAAUUAAGACAUGAGACAAAACGGGGUCCAACCCAGUACUAGCAAGCUGUACUUAAUAAAGUAGCUGUUCAGUGUCAAUGUCAAAUGUAUUUUGCUUUUUUUUUUUAUGAAUAAGUAGAUAAAAUUAUUUUUGUGCUGUUCUGAGUAUAAACUAUAUUUUUCACUUAUUUUGUAGAUAAAAUAUACUUUAUUUUUGCCCAAAGCUGGG